rnacentral:rRNA from 1 species
GGACCAUCAUGUCGGUCGUGCCUCGGUACGUACUGGUAUUGUUGGUCUCUCCCUUCUGACGAACCAUGAUGUCAUUGAUUUGGUGUCGUGGGGAAUCAGGACUGUUACCUUGAAAAAAUUAGAGUGUUUAAAGCAGGCUCACGCUUGAAUACAUUAGCAUGGAGUAACGGAAUAGGACGUUUGAUUCUAUUUUGUUGGUUUCUAGGAUCGACGUA